rnacentral:tRNA from 1 species
GAGGGCGUAGCUCAGUGCAGAGCGUGUGCUUAGCAUGCAUGAGGUUCUGGGUUCAAUCCCCAGUCCCUCCA